GAUAGCUGAACAGAACAAGCUGCAGCUGGGAUCUGCAGAGUGAGGGUGGUCUGUAAUGACAAUUGUGUAUAAACUUCCGUGUCUGCAUCUUUCAUGGUGGUCAGAGACAGAUGCAGGAAGCACAAGCAAAGGAUAAAAAACGAUGUUUCAGUAAAUGAUUUAAAGUCUUACUGGUCACCAACUGAAGAGCUGAAGAUAACAUAUGUACUAUUCUGACUCUGUCAACAUUGGCUCAGUAAUUAAGGAUAAAUUGGGAUGCCUCCUGAGGGACUCCAAAUAUAGUUAUCAAUCAUGAGGAAACUACCUCCUACUAACAGAAGCAGAAGGGAAAUAAAAGCUGUUUCAAAGAG